rnacentral:tRNA from 1 species
GAGGAUUUGGCUUAGUGGUAGAGCACUUGCCUAGCAAGCUCGAGGCUCUGGGUUCAGUCCUCA